GGGAUCUAGACAAUGGGCGGCAGCUGAUCUAGCAUGCGCGUGUGUGAUGAAGGUCUAGGAUCGUAAAGCACUUUCGCCAGGGAUGAUAAUGACAGUACCUGGUAAAGAAACCCCGGCUAACUCCGUGCCAGCAGCCGCGGUAAUACGGAGGGGGUUAGCGUUGUUCGGAAUUACUGGGCGUAAAGCGUACGUAGGCGGAUCAGAAAGUUGGGGGUGAAAUCCCGGGGCUCAACCCCGGAACUGCCUCCAAAACUCCUGGUCUUGAGUUCGAGAGAGGUGAGUGGAAUUCCAAGUGUAGAGGUGAAAUUCGUAGAUAUUUGGAGGAACACCAGUGGCGAAGGCGGCUCACUGGCUCGAUACUGACGCUGAGGUACGAAAGUGUGGGGAGCGAACAGGAUUAGAUACCCUGGUAGUCCACACCGUAAACGAUGAAUGCCAGUCGUCGGGCAGUAUACUGUUCGGUGACACACCUAACGGAUUAAGCAUUCCGCCUGGGGAGUACGGUCGCAAGAUUAAAACUCAAAGGAAUAAUUAAACCACAUGCUCCACGGCUUGUGCGGGCCCCCGUCACGAAGCAACGCGCAGAACCUUACCAACCCUUGACAUCCCGUGCUAACCCGAGAGAUCGGGCGUCCACUUCGGUGGCGCAGUGACAGGUGCUGCAUGGCUGUCGUCAGCUCGUGUCGUGAGAUGUUCGGUUAAGUCCGGCAACGAGCGCAACCCACAUCCUUAGUUGCCAGCAGUUCGGCUGGGCACUCUAAGGAAACUGCCCGUGAUAAGCGGGAGGAAGGUGUGGAUGACGUCAAGUCCUCAUGGCCCUUACGGGUUGGGCUACACACGUGCUACAAUGGCAGUGACAAUGGGUUAAUCCCCAAAAGCUGUCUCAGUUCGGAUUGGGGUCUGCAACUCGACCCCAUGAAGUCGGAAUCGCUAGUAAUCGUGGAACAGCAUGCCACGGUGAAUACGUUCCCGGGCCUUGUACACACCGCCCGUCACACCAUGGGAGUUGGUUCUACCCGACGGCCGUGCGCCAACCUUUCGAGGAGGCAGCGGACCACGGUAGGAUCAGCGACUGGGGUGAAGUCGUAACAAGGUAACCA
rnacentral:rRNA from 1 species